rnacentral:rRNA from 1 species
CCUACGGGUGGCAGCAGUCGAGAAUCAUUCACAAUGGGGGAAACCCUGAUGGUGCGACGCCGCGUGGGGGAAUGAAGGUCUUCGGAUUGUAAACCCCUGUCAUGUGGGAGCAAAUUAAAAAGAUAGUACCACAAAAGGAAGAGACGGCUAACUCUGUGCCAGCAGCCGCGGUAAUACAGAGGUCUCAAGCGUUGUUCGGAAUCACUGGGCGUAAAGCGUGCGUAGGCUGUUUCGUAAGUCGUGUGUGAAAGGCGCGGGCUCAACCCGCGGACGGCACAUGAUACUGCGAGACGAGAGUGAUGGAGGGGGAACCGGAAUUCUCGGUGUAGCAGUGAAAUGCGUAGAUAUCGAGAGGAACACUCGUGGCGAAGGCGGGUUCCUGGACAUUAACUGACGCUGAGGCACGAAGGCCAGGGGAGCGAAAGGGAUUAGAUACCCCUGUAGUC